UGAACAACUCUAUCUCUGGGAGACAAGUUAGCUUGCUCUAAUACCUUGUUCUGAAGCUCUUGUGGGUAAUCUCUCAUGCAACCAAUGCGAGCUGUUUCGUAGCCAUCGUCCGAGGGAGAAUCUGGAAUGAGAGCUCUACAACUAGCUGGAAGUGUUUCCUUCUUGAAUAUGUCAAACACAUUGCUUCUUUCUGGUAUUUGAAGGUUAGUAAGCUUUGAUCGUAAUCCUCUUGAUAAUCUUGAUAUUCGUGGUUUUUGAGUCUCUGCAGGAUUAGAGACAAGAGGUCUAGAUGGAUUAUUGACAAGAGGUCUAGAUGGAAUAUUCUUGUCGAUUGUGUCUCUAAUAUUUAUUCCACCAGCAACGUCUUUAGAAUCUUCUUGAAGAUAGGUGAAUUUAUCUUUGGGAUAUCUCAGAAAUGGAUGGGCUUACCGGACCAAGGUAUUUGAUGCAUUGUUGAUGAAGCCUAUGUCUUGGACAUCUCUCAAGACACACUUGUCGAGAAUCGACCUAUGAGUCAAUUUUAUCGUCAACACCUCAUACACGAGGCAUUGUACCACUUAUUACUCAUUCCUAUGCCGACAAAGACAAAAUCAGGUAGUUUCUAAGCUAAAUGUCUUUCAAUUGAUUGUUUCCACUAAUGUUCAACCGAUCUUUCUUCUUAUUUAGAAACACUCACUAAUGUUCAACCGAUCUUUCUUCUUAUUUAGAAACAUCCAAGAUUAUAGAUUGAUGUUAUGCUAUAUCUAUCUAGGGAGUUUUCUACCUUUGAAGAACAAGGUACGUAGUCUUUAAUUCUUGAGAAUAUCUGUAUGGUCUCAAACAAUCCUCUUAUGCAUGGUAACUUCUCAUCUACU